rnacentral:lncRNA from 1 species
UCAGGCCCGGAAAAAACACCUCACUAGGACCCUUCCCACCCUUUUACAUUCUUCUGCUCUUAAACCGUUCCCAGCCUGUGCCAGGGCUGGUUAACCUAAAGGCAAAUAUGCUAGGAAGGACGGGGUGAUUUCUUCUGUAGAUGGAUGACUGAGGAAAUAUCGUAAGUAUCUCAAGACAUUUCUGUCAUCACCAUCUUCAGGAGAAAAAAAUCCCGAGAACACGGAUUGUCACAGGAGCUACUACAGAUGCAGCGCUGGAGUGCUUUGUGGGCUCUCUGGGGUUCCAGACUGGAUGAAGGAGGGUAGCGAUGCCUUUAAAAAUUUAAGAUAUUGCUACUCUCAGAGGCAGUUCUGAUGGCAAUUCACCGUUCUCUGUACUGAUAAAAAAAAAAAAACAACAACCUUGUUUUGCUAUGAAACAUAAUCAUAUAUACUCAUUCUCGCACAAUUUCUCUUGACUCUCCAAUCUCACUUUUUGGUUUAGCAACUUCCAGCCUAACAUCAUUCUUAUAUCCUCCUAUCAAAAAAUAAUAGAUGCUGGACCCUGUGACGUGUCGGUUUCACCUUAACUCCUUCCCUAUGAAGAAAUUCUCCUCAAGGGGACAACUGGGGUGCUGACCUUCACUUGACCAUCACCACAUUUUCACCCCUUUCAUCUGGAUUUUAUUGAUAGAAACUCUACUGAAACGGCUCUCUCUCUCUCUUGAGAAAAAAAAGAUUUGAAAGUGAUCGUAAUCUCCACCCAGUGCUUCCUGUGUUCCUCCUACAUUCAGCUGGGCUUGCCUUGUUCCCUGUAUCUUCAACCACUCGGAGGCCUUGGACUUACGGGUGCACAGCCUGAGAAUCUGUAUGCACAGAAGGUAUUGUCCCUAAACAGAAUCACAACCUCACACAUAAUACGUAUGUAUGUGGAUGCUCUUGUGGUUAAUAAAACAGAAUUCAUUUAAAAGUACGACUAAGACCAUAUAGGUUUUAGUUAUGAUGGUUUUCUUCUCAAUGAAUAGUAUACUAAUUAGCCCACGACUUUUUGUUCGCUUGCUUUUACAACAAUACUGAGUCUUUGCACUGAAAGUAGUAGGAAACACUAGAUUAAAUGGUCAUCAAAAGCAUUAUCUGC